rnacentral:rRNA from 1 species
AAUGAACGUUGGCGGCGUGGAUUAGGCAUGCAAGUCGUACGGGACCGCAAGGUACCCGUGGCGCAAGGGUGAGUAAGGCGACGGUAACCUACCCCAGGGCUGGCCAUAGCCGCGGGAAACCGCGGGUAAUAGCCAGCGACGUGUCUGGAAGGCAUCUUCCGGCCACCAAAGGUGUGAUUCCGCCCUGGGACGGGCCGUCGUGGUAUUAGGUAGUUGGCGGGGUAACGGCCCACCAAGCCUCUGAUGCCUACCGGGCGUGCGAGCGUGGCCCGGCACACUGGGACUGCGACACGGCCCAGACUCCUACGGGAGGCUGCAGUCGAGAAUCUGCGGCAAUGGGCGCAAGCCUGACCGAGCGACGCCGCGUGGAGGACGAAGGCCUUCGGGUUGUAAACUCCUGUCGAGGGGAAGGAAGGGACGGCGCAGAGCCGUUCUUGACCGCUCCCUGGAGGAAGCACGGGCUAAGUUCGUGCCAGCCGCCGCAGUAAAAC